UACGAAGGGGGCUAGCGUUGUUCGGAAUUACUGGGCGUAAAGCGCGUGUAGGCGGGUCCUUAAGUCAGGGGUGAAAUGCCGAGGCUCAACCUCGGAACUGCCUUUGAUACUGGGGAUCUUGAGUCCGGGAGAGGUGAGUGGAACUGCGAGUGUAGAGGUGAAAUUCGUAGAUAUUCGCAAGAACACCAGUGGCGAAGGCGGCUCACUGGCCCGGAACUGACGCUGAGACGCGAAAGCGUGGGAG
rnacentral:rRNA from 1 species